rnacentral:lncRNA from 1 species
CAUGAACCAAAUAAUUAUAUUAACAGUGAAAAAUUAUAUAAGAAUAUCAACAAUAGUGCAAUACAUCCAACAAAAAAAGAAAACCCUUAAUUCAAGGAGAAAAUUACUCCACUUAGUUUGGCAGUUACCAACUAACCCAAAUAUUCAAAAAUCACGACGCCAACAAAUAAAUCCGAAGAUCAUUUCAUCCUAAUUUCUCUGUCAAAUGGAGACGCUAUCUGUAUAUCUUCCCUUUCAAUGGCGGAGACGAACAAAGCAGUCAGAGUAAGGAGGACAUUGAGGACACUAAAUAUAAUGUAAAAGAUGGUGGCCAAAGAAAUGAAUAUGGCGAUAUACACAUUGCUGAGGAAGAUUCUGAAUUGCAACAUGACAUUUUCUUCGUCCUCAACCGAUUCGCCAUUAUUAUUUUCUCUCUCUUCCUCCUCCUCUUGAACCUUCUCUACUUCGACCUCAUUUCUCUACUACAACCAUGUCCACGUUUAUACUGCAUAGGACACUGCAUAGGAAAGAGAGAGAUAAGAGAAUGAUGUGUAAUGAAAUAUUGAUAACCAAACCUUCGUACCAAGGUAACCAAACAUUUAUACCAAUGUAACCAAAUCUACCUCCACACCUGCAGUAUGAAUUUGUUACUUUGAUCUAAAAGUUUGGCAACCAAUUUCAUGAAGGUAAAUAAAAAAUAGAACACUGCAUAAGAAAGAGAGAGAUAAGAGAGUGAUGUGUAAUGUAAUAUUGAUAACCAAACCUUCGUACCAAGGUAACCAAACAUGUACCAAGAUAACCAAACAUUUAUACCAAGGUAACCAAACCUUUAUAUCAAGAUAACCAAAUCUACCUCAACACCUGGAGUAUGAAUUUGUUACCUUGGUCUAAAAGUUUGGCAACCAAUUUCAUGAAGGUUUGGCUACUAAUUGCAUCACAUUCAAAAAAAAAUUGGUAACUUAACAAAACUAAAUUAGUUACCUUAGUACGAAUGUUUGGCUACCAACUGCACCAUGAAAAAACUACACCCAAACACCCCCUUAUAAUUCCAUGUUAAAC